rnacentral:rRNA from 1 species
UUAAGCGACUAAGCGUACACGGUGGAUGCCCUGGCAGUCAGAGGCGAUGAAGGACGUGCUAAUCUGCGAUAAGCGUCGGUGAGGUGAUAUGAACCGUUAUAACCGGCGAUUUCCGAAUGGGGAAACCCAGUGUGUUUCGACACACUAUCAUUAACUGAAUCCAUAGGUUAAUGAGGCGAACCGGGGGAACUGAAACAUCUAAGUACCCCGAGGAAAAGAAAUCAACCGAGAUUCCCCCAGUAGCGGCGAGCGAACGGGGAGGAGCCCAGAGCCUGAAUCAGUGUGUGUGUUAGUGGAAGCGUCUGGAAAGGCGCGCGAUACAGGGUGACAGCCCCGUACACAAAAAUGCACAUAUUGUGAGCUCGAUGAGUAGGGCGGGACACGUGGUAUCCUGUCUGAAUAUGGGGGGACCAUCCUCCAAGGCUAAAUACUCCUGACUGACCGAUAGUGAACCAGUACCGUGAGGGAAAGGCGAAAAGAACCCCGGCGAGGGGAGUGAAAAAGAACCUGAAACCGUGUACGUACAAGCAGUGGGAGCCUCUUAAUGGGGUACUGCGUACCUUUUGUAUAAUGGGUCAGCGACUUAUAUUCUGUAGCAAGGUUAACCGAAUAGGGGAGCCGAAGGGAAACCGAGUCUUAACUGGGCGUUAAGUUGCAGGGUAUAGACCCGAAACCCGGUGAUCUAGCCAUGGGCAGGUUGAAGGUUGGGUAACACUAACUGGAGGACCGAACCGACUAAUGUUGAAAAAUUAGCGGAUGACUUGUGGCUGGGGGUGAAAGGCCAAUCAAACCGGGAGAUAGCUGGUUCUCCCCGAAAGCUAUUUAGGUAGCGCCUCGUGAAUUCAUCUCCGGGGGUAGAGCACUGUUUCGGCAAGGGGGUCAUCCCGACUUACCAACCCGAUGCAAACUGCGAAUACCGGAGAAUGUUAUCACGGGAGACACACGGCGGGUGCUAACGUCCGUCGUGAAGAGGGAAACAACCCAGACCGCCAGCUAAGGUCCCAAAGUCAUGGUUAAGUGGGAAACGAUGUGGGAAGGCCCAGACAGCCAGGAUGUUGGCUUAGAAGCAGCCAUCAUUUAAAGAAAGCGUAAUAGCUCACUGGUCGAGUCGGCCUGCGCGGAAGAUGUAACGGGGCUAAACCAUGCACCGAAGCUGCGGCAGCGACACUAUGUGUUGUUGGGUAGGGGAGCGUUCUGUAAGCCUGUGAAGGUGGCCUGUGAGGGUUGCUGGAGGUAUCAGAAGUGCGAAUGCUGACAUAAGUAACGAUAAAGCGGGUGAAAAGCCCGCUCGCCGGAAGACCAAGGGUUCCUGUCCAACGUUAAUCGGGGCAGGGUGAGUCGACCCCUAAGGCGAGGCCGAAAGGCGUAGUCGAUGGGAAACAGGUUAAUAUUCCUGUACUUGGUGUUACUGCGAAGGGGGGACGGAGAAGGCUAUGUUGGCCGGGCGACGGUUGUCCCGGUUUAAGCGUGUAGGCUGGUUUUCCAGGCAAAUCCGGAAAAUCAAGGCUGAGGCGUGAUGACGAGGCACUACGGUGCUGAAGCGACAAAUGCCCUGCUUCCAGGAAAAGACCUCUAAGCAUCAGGUAACAUCAAAUCGUACCCCAAACCGACACAGGUGGUCAGGUAGAGAAUACCAAGGCGCUUGAGAGAACUCGGGUGAAGGAACUAGGCAAAAUGGUGCCGUAACUUCGGGAGAAGGCACGCUGAUAUGUAGGUGAAGCGACUUGCUCGUGGAGCUGAAAUCAGUCGAAGAUACCAGCUGGCUGCAACUGUUUAUUAAAAACACAGCACUGUGCAAACACGAAAGUGGACGUAUACGGUGUGACGCCUGCCCGGUGCCGGAAGGUUAAUUGAUGGGGUUAGCGGUAACGCGAAGCUCUUGAUCGAAGCCCCGGUAAACGGCGGCCGUAACUAUAACGGUCCUAAGGUAGCGAAAUUCCUUGUCGGGUAAGUUCCGACCUGCACGAAUGGCGUAAUGAUGGCCAGGCUGUCUCCACCCGAGACUCAGUGAAAUUGAACUCGCUGUGAAGAUGCAGUGUACCCGCGGCAAGACGGAAAGACCCCGUGAACCUUUACUAUAGCUUGACACUGAACAUUGAGCCUUGAUGUGUAGGAUAGGUGGGAGGCUUUGAAGUGUGGACGCCAGUCUGCAUGGAGCCGGCCUUGAAAUACCACCCUUUAAUGUUUGAUGUUCUAACGUUGGCCCGUAAUCCGGGUUGCGGACAGUGUCUGGUGGGUAGUUUGACUGGGGCGGUCUCCUCCUAAAGAGUAACGGAGGAGCACGAAGGUUGGCUAAUCCUGGUCGGACAUCAGGAGGUUAGUGCAAUGGCAUAAGCCAGCUUGACUGCGAGCGUGACGGCGCGAGCAGGUGCGAAAGCAGGUCAUAGUGAUCCGGUGGUUCUGAAUGGAAGGGCCAUCGCUCAACGGAUAAAAGGUACUCCGGGGAUAACAGGCUGAUACCGCCCAAGAGUUCAUAUCGACGGCGGUGUUUGGCACCUCGAUGUCGGCUCAUCACAUCCUGGGGCUGAAGUAGGUCCCAAGGGUAUGGCUGUUCGCCAUUUAAAGUGGUACGCGAGCUGGGUUUAGAACGUCGUGAGACAGUUCGGUCCCUAUCUGCCGUGGGCGCUGGAGAACUGAGGGGGGCUGCUCCUAGUACGAGAGGACCGGAGUGGACGCAUCACUGGUGUUCGGGUUGUCAUGCCAAUGGCACUGCCCGGUAGCUAAAUGCGGAAGAGAUAAGUGCUGAAAGCAUCUAAGCACGAAACUUGCCCCGAGAUGAGUUCUCCCUGACCCUUUAAGGGUCCUGAAGGAACGUUGAAGACGACGACGUUGAUAGGCCGGGUGUGUAAGCGCAGCGAUGCGUUGAGCUAACCGGUACUAAUGAACCGUGAGGCUUAACCUU